rnacentral:lncRNA from 1 species
UUUCAAACAAGGUGUGCUGACUAGGAUUCAAAAAGUUGGACUUUGGGGUCUGUGAGUUUUUGGUUUGUAUUAACUAGUACAGAACAGAGGCAAUCAGAAAACUCUUGCUGCUCCGAGUUCAUGAGAAUGAACUGAAAUACAUACAGAAAUGAACUCCUAGGAAUUCAGGUAAAGAAGAAUUAAAAAAAAAACUUUGUAGCCCCAGCUUUGCUUUCUACAUACUCUGAGGUACUCCUCCAAGUUGUGGAUGGUGACUGGUGUAUCUUUUCCCCCUUUUUUCAGCUCGAUGUUAGGAAAUCCAGGAAGUGUGAAAUCCAGCCCUAGAUCCUCCACUGAGCAGCCAUUCAUAGUCAGGGUUUCCAAUGCAUACUGUAGACUUUCUUUGGUCUGUGUUUUGUCCUGCUCAAGUCUUUUCUUUUGUCUUACAAUAUCUUCAAGGUGAUAUAUUGAUUUGGCUACUACUGGAUCAAUACUGAACAAGUCAUGUGACGUCAAAGAAGUUUCCUGGCGUAACAUCCAUUUAUAAAAAGGAAGUCCAAGAGGAAGAUCCACCAGUCUAAAAUCCAUGAUUGCCUUAGCCAUUAGUUUUCCCAGAAAGCGGAACUUCAUUUUAACUUUUGCAAUGUGAGCAGGCUUGGCUGUUCUACCAAAAGGAAGUGCAAAAAGGCCUUGGAGAUUAUGAAUAUACUUGGUACCUUCUUGGCUUCCUUUUGGAUUGGCUAAAGUUACUUCUUCUCCCCUCCAAAGGCCCAAGUCUGCUCUCUGUAGUUCCUGAGAUACAAGUGCAUAGAACUCUAGUGUAGGGCCCAGGCCUGUGCCAACUUCAUUCUCAUACUGGAUUUCCAACAUGGCUCUUGAACUGCCUAGAUCCUGCAUCACAGAUUCUGCCUGUUUCAACAGCUCAUCUCUG